CACCUAGUAUAAGAAGUAACCAAGAAAGUGAGAAUCUAACUAUCCACUAAAAAGUAAGGAUUUCAAGACAAGGAAACUAUUCUAAGGGCUCGCGUAUAAGGCUAGUAAUAGAAUCAUCAUAGUUGUAAUAGAAUCAUAAGAAUAGGAAUAAGAAUAGAAAGUAAUAAAAGCAAGGUAGAUUCAGAAUUGACCUCUUUCUUGCCAACCCUUUACUGUAUUCUCUCACACCUAGUAUAAGCGGGUGCAUUUCAAUAUCAUAUGCCGGAGCAGGAAAGUCUCUCGGUGUUGUCGACGAAACAGGAAGUACUGAAAGCUAACGUGGAGUUUCAUAAGUCAUAUCUAUGUAAUAGAAUCAUUAGCGAGGUAUUAUCUAUGUAAUAGAAUCAUUAGCGAGGUAUUAUCUAUACGGUAACCAACCAACCCUGUGCUUCAUUCUGCAAUUCCAUUCUUUUCGUAGUCAAUUCCAUUCUGCAAUUUGUUUUUCUCAACUCCAAAUGGAUUUCUAUGUAAUAUGGCACUGCACUUGCACUGUGAUCGGAGAGGCUUUCAGCACCUUGCAUCCCCUUCUCUUUUGUCUAUUUUGCUUUUAGUUAGGAAGGCGGCUAUGAGAUUACUAACAUCUAGAUUACCCUCCCCUAUAGUUUAUUGAAUGACUUCGAGUAAAUGUUUGUGAUUUAUGUUAUCAAGGCAACCAACGAUAUCAGAUUGAAACUAAGGUCCCCAACGUUCCAUUUGGAAAAAGAAAGUAAUUGGUCCUCGCCCUUUCCUAAACCCGUGAGAUUGAUUUGGAAUAAAAGAAGAAGGUAAGAGGGUAGUACUGUGUCGAGUAACAGUACAGGCAGUAGCUAGACCACUUGCAUGUCGAACAGAUCUAAUCACAAGGCAAAAGUGGAUUAGGGGCGCAAUGACCUAGAAGCUCGUAGGCUAUGGCUCAGUUCAUACUCGAGUAGAGGCUCAGAACAUUCUCGCGAAGGUAGACCAUAGUUUGUGAGGAUACAUUCUUGGCUAGAUCAUUCGAGUCAAUGCAUAGAUCUUUUACAGCUUCGGGUUAGUUCCAUUGACUCCGCCUUUGAUUCUGUUUUUGGUAUUUCUUCUUCGAUCAAAGGUAUGCAGAAACCUCUAAAGUAGAAAAACACCCGGGUGCGAGUCUUAUCCCACGCCCCACCACUCAAGUUUUAUGGCUUAGAGUGCAAUUCUCUAGCUCUGUUUCCUGUUUACUAGGUUUGAGUCAACUUCUUUAGAGUCGUUUUCUUUCUUAAUGGGAGGGUGCUCCGAUGGCAUGAACCCAGGGACGAUCAAAGGAAAUACGAUUUCGGUAUGAUUCAAGGUGAAACUAUCGGUAUGAUUCAAGGUUCAACUCAUUCUUAUGUCAGCGAGCAAAGGAUCACUCUUAUAUCAAAUGACAAAUCAUCCUUUAUUUCUGGGUUAAUUCAAUAGGGACCCUAUGUUGCAUUCUCGUAGAUUGAGGGGAGGGUUGGUUCUUUCAAGGUCUCGCUUUGGCGCGUUAAGCACACGCUAUUAUAGUAGAAUAAUAAGAAUAAGAAAGAGAAGGAUUUUAGGAAAAGGAUAGAAGGAAGGUUCAAAGGGUUCGUUUGGGGGCGUUAAGCACGCGCUACAAUAUAAUAAGAAUGACAGGCUAACAGGGUUAAUAAGAAUGGAAGUCGAAGGGGUUAAUACAGAAUUCCAUACAGGAUAGUAGGGCUAAAGCUAUCAAUUGCAAACUUCACGGCUUGUCCCACACGUUGCUCGGCUCCACAAUUGCUAGUGUUGGGGAAGAGUAGGAAUUAACGAACCCACCCGGCUGUUUAUCUUACUUACUAAAAAACAAAACAACCUACCUGUUGCAUUGUAGAGAGUUAACAGCUUGAGUUUCGUUUUCGUUCUGAAUCUUCCAAAACCAAUCUAGUGGUAUCUUUUAUUCUAUGCUUGUUAGCUUCCGACUCAAACUACUAGGAUUGAUUGCGAGCCUGCCUU
rnacentral:lncRNA from 1 species